UACUAGAGUAGCACUCGCAUAUCAAUAAGCGGAGGAAAAGAAACUAACAAGGAUUCCCCUAGUAACGGCGAGUGAAGCGGGAAGAGCUCAAAUUUGAAAUCUUAAAGGGUUUCCCUUUACGAAUUGUAGUUUAAAGAAGUGUUUUCUGUUGAGGUUUUGGUAAAAGUUCUUUGGAAUAGGACAUCAUAGAGGGUGAGAAUCCCGUAUUUGACCUUUACUUUCAACUUUGUGAUACACUUUCAAAGAGUCGGAUUGUUUGGGAAUGCAGUCCAAAAUGGGUGGUAAAUUUCAUCUAAAGCUAAAUAUUGGCGAGAGACCGAUAGCGAACAAGUACCGUGAGGGAAAGAUGAAAAGAACUUUGAAAAGAGAGUUAAAGCAGUACGUGAAAUUGUCAAAAGGGAAGCGUUUGACACCAGUGUUGUUUUUCUGAAAAUCAAUUAAAGAACUGUUUAUGCUAAGCUGUUUAGACUUUAUCAGCUAUCUGUUUAGUUUUAGGCUUUUCUUUAAUGCACUUUUCAGUUAACAAGUCAACAUCAAUUUCUUUUGCUGUAAAAAAGCUUGAGGAAGGUGGCUUGAGAUUCGUCUUAAGUGUUUAUAGCCUCUUGCCUAUGCAGUCGGAGAGGAUUGAGGUCUGCAGCGUAGAUCCUUCGGGGCUAAAUGCAUUUGUGCUAAGUUAUAGCAUUUUAUAGACAACUUGUUGACUAUGAUUUGUCUUGUAGCUUACUCGCUUAUGUUAUUUUACCUACGCUUAGGAUGUUGAACUACUGAGACAUAGA
rnacentral:rRNA from 1 species